rnacentral:lncRNA from 1 species
UUAAAGAAAAUCAGAGGAAUUUGGUGGUUUGAAGUGGUAGUGGAUGGGUUUCAUCAUAGAGCACGGGGACAUCUGAAGGUGGGUUCUGUUUUGUGACCUAUGUCACUGCAGCUUAAACACCCUGCUUCUGGGAUGUGGGUCGGACACAGGCACGGGCGUGCUCAUCUGGCAGUUUUUUGAAAAUUUUAACUUUGUCGAGUUUUGAAAGUUCGUUCCACCACUUAUUCGAUCUACAUGUCUAGGAAACUUACCUUUCAGAUUUCAACACAUGGAAACUUUUUGUAUGUGUUGAAGAAAAAACUGAUCAUUCUGAAGAUGACAAAGUCAACGGGUCUCUAAGAAGGAAGAUAUAAGACAAUAGAACGAAACAAAGAAAAGCUUCAUGUUCAACAAAGAUCAGAAAAUAUUCAUAAUCAAGAAAGGAUGAUCAAAAACGACCAAUUGAAUGUUUCUGAUGAUAAAUAUAUUAUUUAUCAUCAGAGUCCGAGUCUGGUAAAGUCUGAUCAUAUUUCUGAUGAUCAAGAAGCAUCAGAUUUAUGAUAAGGAGUUGGUCGGAAUUCUGAUGAAGCAACUUGAUAAAGAGAUAAGGUCUUUCACGAACUCCUAAGUGACUAGUGGACAUGAACGGAUUCAAUGAAUAUACCAAAAAGCCACUUUUCAUAACCAAGUGUAUGAAUAAAUAAAUGUUUAUUCAUACAUUACAUUCUCUAUAAAUAAAGAACAUAAAACCGAAGGGAAAAUGUCACAUACUACAAAACUCCACUGCCCUUCAUCACAUAUUUCUUUUGAGUAUUCGUUUGUAGUAGUCAAUAAUCUCACAAUCACCCUGUAAGCUUUUCAAAGUGAUAUAAACUUAAAAAAAUCUAUUUUUUUGU